rfam:Myotis davidii contig208077, whole genome shotgun sequence.
GGUGGUUUUGGGUGAUGGAUCCCAGAAUCGGGCUCCCUCCUCUCUGGUUCUGGUUGCAUCACCCGAGAACUGCG